rnacentral:rRNA from 1 species
GAUGAACGCUGGCGGCGUGCCUAACACAUGCAAGUCGAACGAAGCACUGCGGAAAGAGACUUCGGUCAAUGGAAGCUUUGACUUAGUGGCGGACGGGUGAGUAACGCGUGAGGAACCUGCCUCAAAGAGGGGGACAACAGUUGGAAACGACUGCUAAUACCGCAUAAGCCCACGGGUCGGCAUCGACUAGAGGGAAAAGGAGCAAUCCGCUUUGAGAUGGCCUCGCGUCCGAUUAGCUAGUUGGUGAGGUAGUGGCCCACCAAGGCGACGAUCGGUAGCCGGACUGAGAGGUUGAACGGCCACAUUGGGACUGAGACACGGCCCAGACUCCUACGGGAGGCAGCAGUGGGGAAUAUUGCACAAUGGGGGAAACCCUGAUGCAGCAACGCCGCGUGAGUGAUGACGGUCUUCGGAUUGUAAAACUCUGUCUUUAGGGACGAUAAUGACGGUACCUAAGGAGGAAGCCAACGGCUAAACUACGUG